rnacentral:rRNA from 1 species
UGGGGAAUAUUGCACAAUGGGCGCAAGCCUGAUGCAGCCAUGCCGCGUGUGUGAAGAAGGCCUUCGGGUUGUAAAGCACUUUCAGCGGGGAGGAAGGCGUUAAGGUUAAUAACCUUGGCGAUUGACGUUGCCCGCAGAAGAAGCACCGGCUAACUCCGUGCCAGCAGCCGCGGUAAUACGGAGGGUGCAAGCGUUAAUCGGAAUUACUGGGCGUAAAGCGCACGCAGGCGGUCUGUCAAGUCGGAUGUGAAAUCCCCGGGCUCAACCUGGGAACUGCAAUCGAAACUGGCAGGCUAGAGUCUUGUAGAGGGGAGUAGAAUUCCAGGUGUAGCGGUGAAAUGCGUCGAUAAAUGGGGGAACACCAGUGGCGAAGGCGGCUCGCUGGUCUGUAACUGACGAUGAGGCUCGAAAGCGUGGGGAGCAAACAGG